rnacentral:rRNA from 1 species
GGUUAAGCGACUAAGCGUACACGGUGGAUGCCCUGGCAGUCAGAGGCGAUGAAGGACGUGCUAAUCUGCGAUAAGCGUCGGUAAGGUGAUAUGAACCGUUAUAACCGGCGAUUUCCGAAUGGGGAAACCCAGUGUGAUUCGUCACACUAUCAUUAACUGAAUCCAUAGGUUAAUGAGGCGAACCGGGGGAACUGAAACAUCUAAGUACCCCGAGGAAAAGAAAUCAACCGAGAUUCCCCCAGUAGCGGCGAGCGAACGGGGAGCAGCCCAGAGCCUGAAUCAGUGUGUGUGUUAGUGGAAGCGUCUGGAAAGGCGUGCGAUACAGGGUGACAGCCCCGUACACAAAAAUGCACAUACUGUGAGCUCGAUGAGUAGGGCGGGACACGUGGUAUCCUGUCUGAAUAUGGGGGGACCAUCCUCCAAGGCUAAAUACUCCUGACUGACCGAUAGUGAACCAGUACCGUGAGGGAAAGGCGAAAAGAACCCCGGCGAGGGGAGUGAAAAAGAACCUGAAACCGUGUACGUACAAGCAGUGGGAGCACGCUUAGGCGUGUGACUGCGUACCUUUUGUAUAAUGGGUCAGCGACUUAUAUUCUGUAGCAAGGUUAACCGAAUAGGGGAGCCGAAGGGAAACCGAGUCUUAACUGGGCGUUAAGUUGCAGGGUAUAGACCCGAAACCCGGUGAUCUAGCCAUGGGCAGGUUGAAGGUUGGGUAACACUAACUGGAGGACCGAACCGACUAAUGUUGAAAAAUUAGCGGAUGACUUGUGGCUGGGGGUGAAAGGCCAAUCAAACCGGGAGAUAGCUGGUUCUCCCCGAAAGCUAUUUAGGUAGCGCCUCGUGAAUUCAUCUCCGGGGGUAGAGCACUGUUUCGGCAAGGGGGUCAUCCCGACUUACCAACCCGAUGCAAACUGCGAAUACCGGAGAAUGUUAUCACGGGAGACACACGGCGGGUGCUAACGUCCGUCGUGAAGAGGGAAACAACCCAGACCGCCAGCUAAGGUCCCAAAGUCAUGGUUAAGUGGGAAACGAUGUGGGAAGGCCCAGACAGCCAGGAUGUUGGCUUAGAAGCAGCCAUCAUUUAAAGAAAGCGUAAUAGCUCACUGGUCGAGUCGGCCUGCGCGGAAGAUGUAACGGGGCUAAACCAUGCACCGAAGCUGCGGCAGCGACGCUUAUGCGUUGUUGGGUAGGGGAGCGUUCUGUAAGCCUGUGAAGGUGUACUGUGAGGUAUGCUGGAGGUAUCAGAAGUGCGAAUGCUGACAUAAGUAACGAUAAAGCGGGUGAAAAGCCCGCUCGCCGGAAGACCAAGGGUUCCUGUCCAACGUUAAUCGGGGCAGGGUGAGUCGACCCCUAAGGCGAGGCCGAAAGGCGUAGUCGAUGGGAAACAGGUUAAUAUUCCUGUACUUGGUGUUACUGCGAAGGGGGGACGGAGAAGGCUAUGUUGGCCGGGCGACGGUUGUCCCGGUUUAAGCGUGUAGGCUGGUUUUCCAGGCAAAUCCGGAAAAUCAAGGCCGAGGCGUGAUGACGAGG